rnacentral:miRNA from 1 species
CACCUUGAUUUUGGACUUCUAGCCUCCAGAUCUGUGAGAAAAUCAAUUUCUGGUUGUGUAAGCCACC